rnacentral:rRNA from 1 species
AUGCCCUUGAAGAUUAAGAUUUUCGUUUGUCAGCUUCUCCGAGAUCGUCUUCCUUCGGGAACCGAGGUGCUGAAGCGCCAGGGUCCGGGCGAUGGCAUGUGCCCUUUGUGCCAUGUCCUGGAAACGGGAACGCACAUUGUGUUCUCAUGCGUCGCAGCUCAGGCUCUCUGGUGCUUUGUUCGUGAGGCUUUAGGACCGGAGUGGGAGGCCGUUGACCUUGCACGGUUUCUGCAGGUUAGGGCCAUUCAGGAUGGCCGUAAGCGCCGAUUGUUCUGGCUCAUCUUCGCGGCUAUGAUGUGGACUUUUUGGACUACUCGCAAUAAGAUGGUGAUUGAACGG